UACGGAGGGUGCGAGCGUUGUCCGGAAUCACUGGGCGUAAAGGGCGCGUAGGCGGCGCGGGUAGUCAUCGGUGAAAGUUCAGGGCUCAACUCUGAAUCGGCCGGUGAUACUCCCGUGCUCGAGCACUGUAGAGGCAGGUGGAAUUCCCGGGUGUAGCGGUGGAAUGCGUAGAGAUCGGGAGAACACCGGUGGCGAAGGCGGCAUCCUGGACCGACACUGACGCUGAGGAGCGAAAGCCAGGGGAGCAAACGGG
rnacentral:rRNA from 1 species